UACGUAGGGGGCUAGCGUUGUCCGGAAUCAUUGGGCGUAAAGCGCGCGUAGGCGGUCAGGUAAGUCCGGUGUGAAAGUCAAAGGCUCAACCUUUGAAUGCCGCUGGAAACUGCCUGACUUGAGUCCGGUAGGGGCGAGUGGAAUUCCUGGUGUAGCGGUGAAAUGCGCAGAUAUCAGGAGGAACACCAAUGGCGAAGGCAGCUCGCUGGAACGGUACUGACGCUGAGGC
rnacentral:rRNA from 1 species